GCCGCCUUAGCUCAGUUGGUAGAGCGAAGCUUUCGUAAAGCUUAGGUCUGGAGUUCGAGUCUCCAAGGUGGCU
rnacentral:tRNA from 1 species